rnacentral:rRNA from 1 species
UACGUAGGUGGCAAGCGUUGUCCGGAUUUACUGGGCGUAAAGAGCGCGCAGGCGGUCGUUCAAGUCGCGUGUGAAAGCCCCCGGCUCAACUGGGGAGGGUCACGCGAUACUGAUCGACUGGAAGGCAGGAGAGGGUAGUGGAAUUCCCGGUGUAGUGGUGAAAUGCGUAGAUAUCGGGAGGAACACCAGUGGCGAAGGCGACUACCUGGCCUGUUCUUGACGCUGAGGCGCGAAAGCUAGGGGAGCGAACGGG